rnacentral:tRNA from 1 species
GGCUCCUUCGUCUAACGGUUAGGACAGCGGCUUUUCAAGCCGUUAACAGGGGUUCGAUUCCCCUAGGAGCUACCA